rnacentral:rRNA from 1 species
GAUGAACGCUGGCGGCGUGCCUAAUACAUGCAAGUCGAGCGAACAGACGAGGAGCUUGCUUCUCUGACGUUAGCGGCGGACGGGUGAGUAACACGUGGAUAACCUACCUAUAAGACUGGGAUAACUUCGGGAAACCGGAGCUAAUACCGGAUAAUAUUUUGAACCGCAUGGUUCAAUAGUGAAAGACGGUUUUGCUGUCACUUAUAGAUGGAUCCGCGCUGCAUUAGCUAGUUGGUAAGGUAACGGCUUACCAAGGCAACGAUGCGUAGCCGACCUGAGAGGGUGAUCGGCCACACUGGAACUGAGACACGGUCCAGACUCCUACGGGAGGCAGCAGUAGGGAAUCUUCCGCAAUGGGCGAAAGCCUGACGGAGCAACGCCGCGUGAGUGAUGAAGGUCUUCGGAUCGUAAAACUCUGUUAUUAGGGAAGAACAAAUGUGUAAGUAACUAUGCACGUCUUGACGGUACCUAAUCAGAAAGCCACGGCUAACUACGUGCCAGCAGCCGCGGUAAUACGUAGGUGGCAAGCGUUAUCCGGAAUUAUUGGGCGUAAAGCGCGCGUAGGCGGUUUUUUAAGUCUGAUGUGAAAGCCCACGGCUCAACCGUGGAGGGUCAUUGGAAACUGGAAAACUUGAGUGCAGAAGAGGAAAGUGGAAUUCCAUGUGUAGCGGUGAAAUGCGCAGAGAUAUGGAGGAACACCAGUGGCGAAGGCGACUUUCUGGUCUGUAACUGACGCUGAUGUGCGAAAGCGUGGGGAUCAAACAGGAUUAGAUACCCUGGUAGUCCACGCCGUAAACGAUGAGUGCUAAGUGUUAGGGGGUUUCCGCCCCUUAGUGCUGCAGCUAACGCAUUAAGCACUCCGCCUGGGGAGUACGACCGCAAGGUUGAAACUCAAAGGAAUUGACGGGGACCCGCACAAGCGGUGGAGCAUGUGGUUUAAUUCGAAGCAACGCGAAGAACCUUACCAAAUCUUGACAUCCUCUGACCCCUCUAGAGAUAGAGUUUUCCCCUUCGGGGGACAGAGUGACAGGUGGUGCAUGGUUGUCGUCAGCUCGUGUCGUGAGAUGUUGGGUUAAGUCCCGCAACGAGCGCAACCCUUAAGCUUAGUUGCCAUCAUUAAGUUGGGCACUCUAAGUUGACUGCCGGUGACAAACCGGAGGAAGGUGGGGAUGACGUCAAAUCAUCAUGCCCCUUAUGAUUUGGGCUACACACGUGCUACAAUGGACAAUACAAAGGGCAGCGAAACCGCGAGGUCAAGCAAAUCCCAUAAAGUUGUUCUCAGUUCGGAUUGUAGUCUGCAACUCGACUAUAUGAAGCUGGAAUCGCUAGUAAUCGUAGAUCAGCAUGCUACGGUGAAUACGUUCCCGGGUCU